rnacentral:rRNA from 1 species
ACGCACGCUGGCGGCGUGCUUCACCCAUGCCAGUCGCACGCUGAAGCUCAGCUUUUGUUGGGUGGAUGAGUGGCGAACGGGUGAGUAACACGUGAGUAACCUGCCCCCUUCUUUGGGAUAACGCCCGGAAACGGGUGCUAAUACUGGAUAUUCACUGGUCUUCGCAUGGGGGUUGGUGGAAAGGGUUUUUCUGGUGGGGGAUGGGCUCGCGGCCUAUCAGCUUGUUGGUGGGGUGAUGGCCUACCAAGGCUUUGACGGGUAGCCGGCCUGAGAGGGUGACCGGUCACAUUGGGACUGAGAUACGGCCCAGACUCCUACGGGAGGCAGCAGUGGGGAAUAUUGCACAAUGGGCGCAAGCCUGAUGCAGCGACGCCGCGUGAGGGAUGGAGGCCUUCGGGUUGUGAACCUCUUUCGCUCAUGGUCAAGCCACAACAAUGGUUGUGGUGAGGGUAGUGGGUAAAGAAGCGCCGGCUAACUACGUG